GGUCUGUCAGGGGCAGGUCAAGAAGGUGGAGGUCUGUCAGGGGCAGGGGCAGGUCAAGGAGGUGGAGGUCUGCCGGUGGUCAGGGGCAGGUCAAGGAGGUGGAGGUCUGUCAGGGUCAGGGUCAGAGGCAGGUCAAGGAGGUGGAGGUCUGACAGUAGUCAGGGCCAGAGGCUGAUGUAGUUUACACCCGUGGAUUGGUACACUUCACCCGGCAGGAUUUCCUGUGUCUCUCAAUCCAAUCCCCAAAGUCCCAACGCAGUAGUCAACAAAUAAUGAAACAGCUGAACAGUCAGUCAUUCCUUAUCCUCUGCUACCACCUUGUGGCGCUUUCAUGUAUUUACUAAGUGAAGUGAAAACAGAAAUGCCCAGAGUCGUGUUUCUUAAUCCUGGUACUGGGGACACCAACAGAAAGGCCCAGAGUCGUGUUUCUUAAUCCUGGUACUGGGGACACCAACAGAAAGUCCCAGAGUCGUGUUUCUUAAUCCUGGUCCUAGGGCCACACAAAGGGGGCACAUUGUUGUGUUUGCCUUAUCACUACACUCCUGAAUCGACUAAUCAGCUCCUCAUCAAGCCAUCCCCAGGACCUAAGGGUUAAUAAACACCGCCAAAUCUGGACCACCGAGCCAGUUCCACCUCUUUUUUUCAUCCUCAACUCUAAUCAGGGCCUGAUUUAGACCUGGGACACCAGGUGGGGUUGAUAUUAAUGAUCAGGGCCUGAUUUAUACCUGGGACACCAGGUGGGGUGAUAUGAAGGAUCAGGGCCUGAUUUAGACCUGGGACACCAGGUGGGGUGAUGUUAAGGAUCGAGGCCUGAUUUAAACCUGGGACACCAGGUGGGGUUGAUAUUAAGGAUCAGGGGCUGAUUUAGACCUGGGACACCAGGUGGGGUUGAUAUUAAGGAUCAGGGGCUGAUUUAGACCUGGGACACCAGGUGGGGUGAUAUUAAGGAUCAGGGGCUGAUUUAGACCUGGGACACCAGGUGGGGUGAUAUUAAGGAUC
ensembl:lncRNA